rnacentral:lncRNA from 10 species
CAAGUCACGGGAGUUUAUUUAUUUAAUUUUUUUCCCCAGAUGGAGACUCUGUCGCCCAGGCUGGAGUGCAAUGGUGUGAUCUUGGCUCACUGCAACCUCCACCUCCUGGGUUCAAGCGAUUCUCCUGCCACAGCCUCCCGAGUAGCUGGGAUUACAGGUGCCCGCCACCACACCCAGCUAAUUUUUAUAUUUUUAGUAAAGACAGGGUUUCCCCAUGUUGGCCAGGCUGGUCUUGAACUUCUGACCUCAGGUGAUCCACCUGCCUCGGCCUCCCAAAGUGUUGGGAUUACAGGCGUGAGCUACCGUGCCUGGCCAGCCACUGGAGUUUAAAGGACAGUCAUGUUGGCUCCAGCCUAAG